rnacentral:rRNA from 1 species
UGGGGAAUUUUCCGCAAUGGGCGCAAGCCUGACGGAGCAAUACCGCGUGAGGGAGGAAGGCUCUUGGGUCGUAAACCUCUUUUCUCAGGGAAGAACAAAAUGACGGUACCUGAGGAAUAAGCAUCGGCUAACUCUGUGCCAGCAGCCGCGGUAAUACAGAGGAUGCAAGCGUUAUCCGGAAUGAUUGGGCGUAAAGCGUCCGUAGGUGGUUAUGUAAGUCUGUGGUUAAAGCGUGGAGCUCAACUCCAUAAGGGCCAUGGAAACUACAAGACUAGAGUCAAGUAGGGGUAGAGGGAAUUCCCAGUGUAGCGGUGAAAUGCGUAGAGAUUGGGAAGAACACCGGUGGCGAAAGCGCUCUACUGGACUUGUACUGACACUGAGGGACGAAAGCUAGGGGAGCGAAAG